rnacentral:lncRNA from 1 species
UUUACUAAUCAUUGAUAUUAUGUUGAUAGUCCUAAAUAUAAAGUUUUAUUACCAUGAUUACAACUGUCACAUAAACUUAACAUUAAUCAAGAAAACUAAACAUUGAGCAAUGAACCAUAUGAAAAUGAGGUCAAGGUAAGAUGAAUGAUGCCAGACAGACAUGCACAGCUAACAAUUCUUCUAUACAACAAAUAUAGUUGACCCUUUUCUUGUAGUUUAAAAA